GCCAGAGAGGGGGCAGCGGGAGGAGGUGGGGUGCUCCGGGAGCUGGGGCAGAGCUUCCCCUGCAGCUCCUGCAGCCCGAGGAGGAGAGCAUGGCAGAGGAGGCUGAUGUGUGCCGAGGGAAGCAGCAGCGCUGCGUUUACCCGCGUGGGUGCAGGGGAGAAGUGUUAGGAGGAAGGAGCGUCAGGAGAGGAGCUGUGACGGACCGCCUGUGACGGCUGUGGGUCCCGAGGCAAGUGCAGAGCUGUUGCAGAACAGUGCUUGCACAGAGCCAAGGACUUUUCUGCUUCUCGUGCGGUUCAUCCAGUUUGAGGAGGCAGGGGACAGAGCAGAAGCUGGGAGCGGCCACAGCCAGGAGACAGAGCCACACAGCUGGCGGCCCAGCCUGGCCGGGAUGUCACACUCAGCAAGGAAAACUGGAGGUGUCAAGCAGCAGGCAUAGGUCAAGGUGGGAUGGAUGCUGUUGCCUUCCCAAGAGAUUGUCCCGUGCCAUGAGCCGUCUGUUGCUGGAUGUGGCUGAAUAUUGGCCUGCCUGCGGAUGGGAAGCAGCCAUUGUGUUGCCCGUUUUCCUUGUCGUGCGGGCCGGGCUUUUGCUUUCCCUGAUAAAAUGUCUGUCUCUCA